UUUUUUAAGUACUACUUGGAGAAAAACAAAAAAUACCAAAAAGUUGAGCUGGGCAAGGGGAGUUGGAGCCUGGCUUGGGGGAGCCCAGCUCCAUGGGGUGCAAUAGGAAAAGUGUUGUGGAGUGGAGGGGCCCUGGCGUGUGUCCAGUCUCACCUUUAGCACAAGGAUGGACUGGAGGAGGAAGGGAAGGAUUUAGCCCAGCUGCAGCCAGUAGCUCAGCACAUUUCACGUUCUGUGUCGCGUGUUUGCUCACAUUCACAGCAUUGCUGGCCCAUGACUGAAAAGCCAAGCGUAGGUCUGAGCUUCUUGCAUCCUGGUCAUUACUGGGGUCAGUGUACGGAUGCGCAGCCGCCCGCGCAUGCUCUGGAAGGACUGGGGUAGCUCCUCGCAGCGUGUGAUGAAGACCCCCGCUCCUCUUCGCCAGGGCUUGCAGAAGCGUUUGCGAGAGCACCUUGCUUGUGCCAUGUGUGAGGUCCACAGGAGCUGCUCCGAUGUUGCUUGGGCUCCCAGAGCAGAUGUGCGGGAGGACAACAUCCUUGUCGUGGAUAGAUGAGGAGCAGGGCUGAAAACCAGGUCCUGGCAUGACUCUAGGCAGAGGCACCCAUAGGCAUGAGAGCAGCCCUGGCACUGCCCUUGGUGUGCAGAGGUGGCCUGGAGCUCCCAGGUGGGCAAGCAGGGGCUGCGGGCAGCUGAAAGAGAUAAACGGGGUGGGAGAGCCCAGCUUCCCCACCUGGCCCCAGGCUGGGGACGGGUGCUGGCUGCCCUCCCCCCUGCCAGGUGGCUUUAAUAGGGCAGAAGCUGCUGGAGCUCGCUCUUUAUUUCUCAUUUAAUAGCUUGCCAGGACUAGGAAGGGGAAGAUGGGCGGUGAAUUUUUUCCUUCUGGAAGGCUGCAAAGGUCUCUCCUGGUGCCCUGGAUUUUGGGCUGCAAGGUGCUGUGCUUGGACCUGCACUGACCUUGAGAAACUUGCCAUCGCUUUGGGGACCUGGCUGGAGCCCUCAGCACCUUCCAGUACCCUCCUUGGCUUCUGGAGCAGCAGCGUGAGCCCGGCAGGAUGCUGCUGGACGUGGACAUACCCCACUGCUCUUUGAAGUAUUGCUAACACAAGGGUCAUCAGCAGGCCUGGAAAGCAACUGGGAGCUUGGGCGCGUGGCGUAGGGCUCUUCUGGGGAGGAAGGAGAGGGAGGACAAUUCUUUCCCAAACAGCAGCACAGCUCAGAGGCUUCCUCUCAGCCCUGUGUUAUCGGAAUAUAAUGUUCCGACCGACAGCUCAGCGAAUGCAUCAGACCUGGGCAAGCCUCGGGUGAUGGCUUGUGUUUUUCCCCCCGAUGAGUCAGGCCGUGCAGAACAAAUAGUUUCUGCACUGCCCCAGCGCCGCGGCUCGUCGGCCGCUCGUGUGCUCCUGGAGGGAGGCUCCGGGUCAGCUGCGAUUUUUGCUCAGUUUCUCACUGAUUUUUGAAAUUGUUUCUCAUUUUUGUGGUGGUUUUGAGGCUUGGGUGGGGAGGUAUUAAAGCAUGAAGCAUUGCAA